rnacentral:rRNA from 1 species
GAUGAACGCUGGCGGCGUGCCUAACACAUGCAAGUCGAGCGAAUGAAGUUCCUUCGGGAACGGAUUUAGCGGCGGACGGGUGAGUAACACGUGGGCAACCUGCCUCAUAGAGGGGAAUAGCCUUCCGAAAGGGAGAUUAAUACCGCAUAAGAUUGUAGUACCGCAUGGUACAGCAAUUAAAGGAGCAAUCCGCUAUGAGAUGGGCCCGCGGCGCAUUAGCUAGUUGGUGAGGUAACGGCUCACCAAGGCGACGAUGCGUAGCCGACCUGAGAGGGUGAUCGGCCACAUUGGGACUGAGACACGGCCCAGACUCCUACGGGAGGCAGCAGUGGGGAAUAUUGCACAAUGGGGGAAACCCUGAUGCAGCAGCGCCGCGUGAGUGAUGACGGCCUUCGGGUUGUAAAGCUCUGUCUUCAGGGACGAUAAUGACGGUACCUGAGGAGGAAGCCACGGCUAACUACGUGCCAGCAGCCGCAGUAA